UUCAAUUCCCGUCGUUCGCCCAUCAUAUCUAGGAAACUUAGUUUUCUAUACUCAAUACUCUUU
rnacentral:tRNA from 1 species